UACACAUAUAUAUAUAUAUAUAUAUAUAUAUAAAUUAUGCUAGUGUAUUCUACAAAUAGAGUGAUGUCUGCAAUAUUCUUAAAGAACAGAGCAAUCAGGGCUGUGGAGUCAUGGAGUUGGAGUUGCGACAUUGUUAGUGGGGUCAGAGUCGCUAAACAAAAUCACGACUCCGGAUCCAAUAGUAAAACUUCUCGGUAUUGCAUGUUCAUAUACAAAAUAUUUAACCUUUAAAGAACUUUUCAUAUUUCACAAACCUUUAAAGAACUUUUCAUAUUUCACAAAAAAAAUAUUUUGUAAUUAUCGCGUAAUAUUUUUAAAAGAAUUCAAAGAAAUGGUUAUUCAAUUUUUAAUCAAAAUUCAAAAAAAUUUUGCUUUGGAGUCGGAGUCGUUCUCUAAAAAUUUCAGCGAAUAAAAGUUGGUACUUUUUUUUUCCAACUCCACAUGUCUGUGAGCAAUAAUUUGUAAUAAAACUUUAUUACAAUAAUUUGUAAUAAAACUUAUCUAAUUCUCUUCGACAGUUUGAAUCUCCAUCAGUAGGUUCAUCAGGAAGCUUCCUGAUGAAACCACUGAUGAAGAAACAAGGUGACAAAGAGAAUUAGACAAAUGUUUUUACUAAUUUAUAUAAAUAUAUAUAUAUUUUUUACAUGAACUUUACUUGUUUAUAUCUUUUUUUAAAUUAAGCAUGAAACUUAAGAUUUUUUGCAUUAUUCAGUUUAAAUCUACCUUUUCCAACCAUUUAUAGAAAGUACUAUUUACUACUUUAUAUGCUAUUUAUAUGGCUUCACUUAUAUAUUUUACUUUUCAGAGUUUCUGAGAAAAGUUGUUUCAACUUGCUGAAAUUAAAAAAAUUUUAGUAAAUAAAACUGCACAGUUCUCUAAUGAUCCAGAAAGUUAUAAACAACUUAAAAGUUCAGAUGAACUUAAUGUUUUGAAAAGAAAAAUUGCAAAUGGAGAUAUCCAAUGCAUCACUUUUGUAUGCAUGAGUUUCAUCUUUAUAGUUUAUAUGUUAUAUUAUUACAAUAUUUCUUUUGAAUUGUCAUGAACAUUUUCAAUGUUUCUUUCGCACUGUUUCUUUUUAGGUAAAACAGUUAUCAUUAGUUGGCGGUAAAAAUUCAGUUGAUACAAUUAAAAAUAUUUUGCUCUUACUGACAACAGAUACUAUUUUCAGAAUGCGGCAUGAAUGGUCUUAAAAA